UACGGAGGGUGCAAGCGUUAUCCGGAUUCACUGGGUUUAAAGGGUGCGUAGGUGGGCAGGUAAGUCAGUGGUGAAAUCCCCGAGCUUAACUCGGGAACUGCCGUUGAUACUAUCUGUCUUGAAUAUUGUGGAGGUGAGCGGAAUAUGUCAUGUAGCGGUGAAAUGCUUAGAUAUGACAUAGAACACCGAUUGCGAAGGCAGCUUGCUACACAAUUAUUGACACUGAGGCACGAAAGCGUGGGGAGCAAAAGGG
rnacentral:rRNA from 1 species